rnacentral:rRNA from 1 species
CGGGGUGAGUAACGCGUGGGUAACCUGCCUCAUACAGGGGGAUAACGAUUGGAAACGAUUGCUAAUACCGCAUAAGCGCACAGUACCACAUGGUACAGUGUGAAAAACUCCGGUGGUAUGAGAUGGGCCCGCGUCUGAUUAGCUAGUUGGUGAGGUAACGGCCCACCAAGGCAACGAUCAGUAGCCGACCUGAGAGGGUGACCGGCCACAUUGGGACUGAGACACGGCCCAG